rnacentral:rRNA from 1 species
AUUGAACGCUGGCGGCAGGCUUAACACAUGCAAGUCGAGCGGAGACUUCGGUCUUAGCGGCGAACGGGUGAGUAAUACCUAGGAAUCUGCCUAUUAGUGGGGGAUAACGGCUCGAAAGGGUCGCUAAUACCGCAUACGUCCUACGGGAGAAAGUGGGGGAUCUUCGGACCUCACGCUAAUAGAUGAGCCUAGGCCGGAUUAGCUAGUUGGUAGGGUAAAGGCCUACCAAGGGCGACGAUCCGUAGCUGGUCUGAGAGGAUGAUCAGCCACACUGGAACUGAGACACGGUCCAGACUCCUACGGGAGGCAGCAGUGGGGAAUAUUGGACAAUGGGGGCAACCCGUGAUCCAGCCAUGCCGCGUGUGUGAAGAAGGCCCUGGGUUGUAAGCGACUUUAAGCGUAGGAGGAAGGUCGUUU